CCCCAAAGUCGAUAGGCCGUUGGGGACCUUGCAGAUCCUGAUUGCCCCACUUACCCCUAUAAGUCGACCCCCGGGGAAUUACGGCCCCAAAGUUAAAACCCAAAGGAAUUGACGGGGGCCCCACCAACCGGGGAAGAUUGGGGUUUAAUUCAAACCAACCCGAAAAACCUUACCUGGCCUGGACAUGCUGAAAACUUUCCAAAAAUGGAUUGGUGCCUUCGGGAACUCAGACACCGGUGCUGCAUGGCUGGCGUCAGCUCGUGUCGUGAGAUGUUGGGUUAAGUCCCGUAACGAGCGCAACCCUUGUCCUUAGUUACCAGCACCUCGGGUGGGCACUCUAAGGAGACUGCCGGUGACAAACCGGAGGAAGGUGGGGAUGACGUCAAGUCAUCAUGGCCCUUACGGCCAGGGCUACACACGUGCUACAAUGGUCGGGACAAAGGGUUGCCAAGCCGCGAGGUGGAGCUAAUCCCAUAAAACCGAUCGUAGUCCGGAUCGCAGUCUGCAACUCGACUGCGUGAAAUCGGAAUCACUAGUAAUCUCGAAUCNCAAUGUCAAGGACGAAUACGUUCCCGGGCCUUGUACACACCGCCCGUCACACCAUGGGAGUGGGUUAUUCUCGAAGUAGCUAGCCUA
rnacentral:rRNA from 1 species